UACGUAGGGUGCGAGCGUUGUCCGGAAUUAUUGGGCGUAAAGAGCUCGUAGGCGGCUUGUCGCGUCGGCUGUGAAAACCUGGGGCUCAACCCCGGGCCUGCAGCCGAUACGGGCAAGCUAGAAUUCGGUAGGGGAGACUGGAAUUCCUGGUGUAGCGGUGAAAUGCGCAGAUAUCAGGAGGAACACCGGUGGCGAAGGCGGAUCUCUGGGCCUGUUCUGACGCUGAGGCGCGAAAGCUAGGGGAGCGAACAGG
rnacentral:rRNA from 1 species